UAUUUUGCACCUAGGUUUAAGCUUGCCUCAAGCAAACAUUUUGCAUCGCCAUACAGCAUAAGUUUAGUUUCAUUAGCUUAAACUUUAAAUCCAAAUAAAGACUUGAAGAUGUACGCAUAAUCUGCACUGUUAUGCAAUCAGCCAUGAAAUUAGCUAGUGUAGACUGUAGUUAAUGUGUUAUUAUGGGUAGUUUAUUCUAUCACAUUAGAUAAUUAGGCAGAUGCUUAAGAAAAAUCCACUGAGGAAUGUGGGAGUACUGUGUUCUUGGAGAUGAUUUUGUGUUCCAAGAAUCUGCUGGAUGGGGUUUCCUGGCUUGUGGCAUAGUUUUGAGUUUAAUCCUUGAAAAUAAUCAGCUAAUUCUGUUGUGGCCUGUGAGGUUAAGAUCUCCAAUGUUUAAGGUUGAAACCUCUAUAAACCUUGAGCUAUUUUUUGGUUCAAUGAAGUUUUUGCAGGCAGGCCUCAUUGGUUAGCAGCAAACUUAUUUGUAUCGUACCUAUUGAGCGUAAUAAGCUAAUUUUGCUGGAUUGAGUAAUUGUUAUUGUAGGCCAUAUCUUGGCAGUGAGCCACAUCACCUAUUCGGCUAUUCAUGCCAUGAGUUUUUGAGAGUCCAAGCCCUUUCUUGAAGAUGAAACUAUAGAAAGUAACUUUUAUGGAGCCCUUCUCAUGGAGCGGAACGAAUUAUCCUUUUUUAUUAGAAGGCUUCUAAAAUGAAACUAUAGAAAGUAACUUUUAUGAAGCCCUUCUCAUGGAGCGGAACGAAUUAUCCUUUUUUAUUAGAAGGCUUCUAAAAAGUUGUAACAUUUUUUUCGAAAUACUGAAAUGCUUCUGGAGUAAAUAGUAUGCACUGUCGUCAAAC
rnacentral:lncRNA from 1 species